GACGAACGCUGGCGGCGUGCUUAACACAUGCAAGUCGAACGGAAAGGCCCUGCUUUUGUGGGGUGCUCGAGUGGCGAACGGGUGAGUAACACGUGAGUAACCUGCCCUUGACUUUGGGAUAACUUCAGGAAACUGGGGCUAAUACCGGAUAGGAGCUCCUGCUGCAUGGUGGGGGUUGGAAAGUUUCGGCGGUUGGGGAUGGACUCGCGGCUUAUCAGCUUGUUGGUGGGGUAGUGGCUUACCAAGGCUUUGACGGGUAGCCGGCCUGAGAGGGUGACCGGCCACAUUGGGACUAAGAUACGGCCCAGACUCCUACGGGAGGCAGCAGUGGGGAAUAUUGCACAAUGGGCGGAAGCCUGAUGCAGCAACGCCGCGUGCGGGAUGACGGCCUUCGGGUUGUAAACCGCUUUCGCCUGUGACGAGGCGUGAGUGACGGUAAUGGGUAAAGAAGCACCGGCUAACUACGUG
rnacentral:rRNA from 1 species